rnacentral:rRNA from 1 species
CCUACGGGUGGCAGCAGUGAGGAAUAUUGGUCAAUGGACGCAAGUCUGAACCAGCCAUGCCGCGUGCAGGAAGACGGCUCUAUGAGUUGUAAACUGCUUUUGUACGAGGGUAAACGCAGAUACGCGUACCUGUCUGAAUGUAUCGUACGAAUAAGGAUCGGCUAACUCCGUGCCAGCAGCCGCGGUAAUACGGAGGAUUCAAGCGUUAUCCGGAUUUAUUGGGUUUAAAGGGUGCGUAGGCGGGCGGAUAAGUUAGUGGUGAAAUCCCGCGGCUCAACUUCGGAAUUGCCUCUGAUACUGGUCGGCUUGAGAAUAGUUGAGGUAGGCGGAAUGUGUGGUGUAGCGGUGAAAUGCUUAGAGAUCAUGCAGAACACCGAUUGCGAAGGCAGCUUACCAAUCUAUAUCUGACGUUGAGGCUCGAAAGCGUGGGGAGCAAACAGGAUUAGAUACCCCUGUAGUC